rnacentral:sRNA from 1 species
AGCUAAGGUCGGCAGUCUAAGUUCGCCGCGUUCUGCGGCAACGGCUGCAUGACCGGCAUCCUGUCGG